CGCACAGUGGUGUAAUGGUCUGCACGUUUACCUCACACCUCAAGGGCUGGGGGUUCGAUUCCCGCCAUGGCCC